GUGUCAGCCGCCGCGGUAAGACGUAGGAUCCAAGCGUUAUCCGGAAUUACUGGGCGUAAAGGGCGUGUAGGAGGUUGGGCAAGUCGGCCAUGAAAGCUCCCGGCUCAACUGGGAGAGGCUGGUCGAUACUGCCUGGCUAGAGGGCAAGAGAGGGAGGUGGAAUUCCCGGUGUAGUGGUGAAAUGCGUAGAUAUCGGGAGGAACACCAGUGGCGAAGGCGGCCUCCUGGCUUGUACCUGACUCUGAAACGCGAAAGCAUGGGUAGCAAACAGGAUUAGAAACCCUGGUAGUCCAUGCCAUAAACGAUGUCAACUGGGUGUCGGCGAAGUAAAAUUUGUCGGUGCCGAAGCUAACGCGUUAAGUUGACCGCCUGAGGACUACGAUCGCAAGAUUAAAACUUAAAGGAAUUGACGGGG
rnacentral:rRNA from 1 species